rnacentral:siRNA from 1 species
UCGGUGCGUUCUUACUAAAACUA